rnacentral:rRNA from 1 species
ACGGGUGAGUAACACGUGAGUAACCUGCCCUUGACUCUGGGAUAACCUCCGGAAACGGAAGCUAAUACCGGAUAUGACGUACGGAGGCAUCUCCUGUACGUGGAAAGAACUUCGGUCAAGGAUGGACUCGCGGCCUAUCAGGUAGUUGGUGAGGUAACGGCUCACCAAGCCUACGACGGGUAGCCGGCCUGAGAGGGUGACCGGCCACACUGGGACUGAGACACGGCCCAGACUCCUACGGGAGGCAGCAGUGGGGAAUAUUGCACAAUGGGCGCAAGCCUGAUGCAGCAACGCCGCGUGAGGGACGACGGCCUUCGGGUUGUAAACCUCUUUUAGUAGGGAAGAAGCGAAAGUGACGGUACCUGCAGAAAAAGCACCGGCUAACUACGUGCCAGCAGCCGCGGUAAUACGUAGGGUGCGAGCGUUGUCCGGAAUUAUUGGGCGUAAAGAGCUCGUAGGCGGUCUGUCGCGUCUGCUGUGAAAACCCGAGGCUCAACCUCGGGCCUGCAGUGGGUACGGGCAGACUAGAGUGCGGUAGGGGAGAAUGGAAUUCCUGGUGUAGCGGUGGAAUGCGC